ACUCCUACGGGAGGCAGCAGUGGGGAAUAUUGGACAAUGGGCGAAAGCCUGAUCCAGCCAUGCCGCGUGUGUGAAGAAGGUCUUCGGAUUGUAAAGCACUUAAGUUGGAGGAAGGGCAGUAAGUUAAUACCUUGCUGU
rnacentral:rRNA from 1 species